rnacentral:rRNA from 1 species
GACGAAGGAUGCAAGCGUUAUCCGGAUUCAUUGGGUUUAAAGGGUGCGUAGGUGGCCUUAUAAGUCAGCGGUGAAAUCUCUGGGCUUAACCCAGAAAUUGCCAUUGAUACUGUAGGGCUUGAGUACAGUUGCUGUGGGCGGAAUAUGACAUGUAGUGGUGAAAUACAUAGAGAUGUCAUAGAACACCGAUUGCGAAGGCAGCUCACAAAACUGUAACUGACACUGAGGCUCGAAAGUGCGGGGAGCAAACAGG